rnacentral:rRNA from 1 species
UGCCUACGGGGGGCAGCAGUAGGGAAUCUUCGGCAAUGGGCGAAAGCCUGACCGAGCAACGCCGCGUGAAUGAAGAAGGCCUUCGGGUUGUAAAAUUCUGUUAUAAGGGAAGAAAGGUGAUAGGAGGAAAUGACUAUCAAUUGACGGUACCUUAUGAGAAAGCCACGGCUAACUACGUGCCAGCAGCCGCGGUAAUACGUAGGUGGCAAUCGUUAUCCGGAAUUAUUGGUUUUAAAGGGUGCGUAGGCGGAAUAUCAAGUCAGCGUUAAAAUUUCGGGGCUCAACCCCGUCGUGCCGUUGAAACU